rnacentral:lncRNA from 1 species
UGGGACUGUUGGGAGAGGAGGUGGUUCCCAUCAGGAGCAGACUGGGACCGUUGGGAGAGGAGGUGGUUCCCAUCAGGAGCAGACUGGGACUGUUGGGAGAGGAGGUGGUUCCCAUCAGGAGCAGACUGGGACCAUUGGGAGAGGAGGUGGUUCCCAUCAGGAGCAGACUGGGACUGUUGGGAGAGGAGGUGGUUCCCAUCAGGAACAGACUGGGACCGUUGGGAGAGGCGGUGGUUCCCAUCAGGAGCAGACUGGGACUGUUGGGAGAGGAGGUGGUUCCCAUCAGGAGCAGACUGGGACCGUUGGGGAAGGAGGUGGUUCCCAUCAGAAGCAGACUGGGACCGUUGGGAGAGGAGGUGGU